GUACCACAGUGAUACAAACUAAUAGAACAGCUGUACAAAAACCUCUGAGCGCUUCACUAACUGCACUUUAAACACAUGAUCACAAACACAUCUUUACACAACACACAUACAAACAUACCUUCAUUUAUUUUGUUAUUCAUACUCUGGACAACUGCUAAUAAAAAUAUGAAUAGUUCAUAAUAUGCAUUUAAAAAUAAAAAUAUAACAUUGUUUUAUGAUUGCAUGUUUUAACUCCUCUUAACUCUUGUGAUGAAGUCUGUGUUGAAUGUUCAUGAGAAAUCAAAACAUUGAAAAAACUUCCUGAGAAUAUCCACUGACUGGAAUGCAAUGUAUUUAAUAACUUAUAAUAAAGACAUACUGUUAAUAUUCAUAAAUGUAAUAUUCUUUUAAUAAUGUAUUCUCAUUGCUGCUGUUCUCCUGUAACAGUCACAUUUGCUGGUGAGAGGAAACAGUUUUGAAUGUGUGUCCCACCCCUCUGAUUAAAGCACAAUAUCAGACUGUCUGUUAGUCAGGACUGUCAAACCAACAUCACUGUUCCUUCAGUUCUCACUCAUUCACAGUAAAGAUGACAGCACACGCUCUCAUUAUCUGCUCUCUUCUGCUUUUCACUGCUGAGUGUGAUGGACAGUACACAGUCACUCAGAGUCCCUCAAUAACAGCAGCUCAACCAGGACAAGAAGUUAAAAUAAACUGUAAAACCAGCAGUGAUGUGUAUGGUGGUGUUAGUUUAGCCUGGUACUUACAGAAACCUGGAGAAGCUCCUAAACUCCUCAUUUAUGGAGCCAACAACCUGGAGUCUGGAACUCCAUCUAGAUUCAGUGGCAGUGGAUCUGAUAGUGAUUUCACUCUGACCAUCAGUGGAGUCCAGACUGAAGAUGCAGGACAUUAUUACUGUCAGAGUUUACACUGGCCUGAAAGCAUUCGAUGGUUUACACAGUGAUAAAGAGUCGUACAAAAACCUCUGUCAGUCACUCUGCACUGAUACAC